GACGGACGCAAAAAUUCCCGAUGCCCAAUACGGGCUGGAAAAGGCGCUAACUUUUACGCUUGCUGCCCAUGCCGGGGCAAACCGGCUCUGUGA
rnacentral:ncRNA from 1 species